AUAUCAGGAGGAACACCGAUGGCGAAGGCAGGUCUCUGGGCUGUAACUGACGCUGAGGAGCGAAAGCAUGGGGAGCGAACAGGAUUAGAUACCCUGGUAGUCCAUGCCGUAAACGUUGGGCACUAGGUGUGGGGGACAUUCCACGUUUUCCGCGCCGUAGCUAACGCAUUAAGUGCCCCGCCUGGGGAGUACGGCCGCAAGGCUAAAACUCAAAGGAAUUGACGGGGGCCCGCACAAGCGGCGGAGCAUGCGGAUUAAUUCGAUGCAACGCGAAGAACCUUACCAAGGCUUGACAUGGACCGGACCGCCGCAGAAAUGCGGUUUCCCUUCGGGGCUGGUUUACAGGUGGUGCAUGGUUGUCGUCAGCUCGUGUCGUGAGAUGUUGGGUUAAGUCCCGCAACGAGCGCAACCCUCGUUCUAUGUUGCCAGCGCGUUAUGGCGGGGACUCAUAGGAGACUGCCGGGGUCAACUCGGAGGAAGGUGGGGACGACGUCAAAUCAUCAUGCCCCUUAUGUCUUGGGCUUCACGCAUGCUACAAUGGCCGGUACAAAGGGUUGCGAUACUGUGAGGUGGAGCUAAUCCCAAAAAGCCGGUCUCAGUUCGGAUUGAGGUCUGCAACUCGACCUCAUGAAGUCGGAGUCGCUAGUAAUCGCAGAUCAGCAACGCUGCGGUGAAUACGUUCCCGGGCCUUGUACACACCGCCCGUCAAGUCACGAAAGUUGGUAACACCCGAAGCCGGUGGCCUAACCCCUUGUGGGAGGGAGCCGUCGAAGGUGGGACCGGCGAUUGGGACUAAGUCG
rnacentral:rRNA from 1 species